rnacentral:rRNA from 1 species
UUUGGUGGUAAUAAAGCGGUGGUCCGACCCGUUCCCAUUCCGAACACGGCAGUCAAACGCCAGCUUGCCGAUGGUAGUGCAUGUAUAGCUUGCGCGAGAGUAGGUUGCCGCCAUUA